rnacentral:rRNA from 1 species
GACGAACGCUGGCGGUCCGCCUUAUGCAUGCAAGUCGAGCGAAGCUUUUCAGUAGUUUACUACAGAAAAUGACUGAGCGGGGAACGGGUGAGUAACGCGUGAGCAAUCUACCUUAGUUACAGGGAUAGCCCGAGGAAACUCGGAUUAAUACCUGAUAUUCUUUAUUUCUCGCAUGAGAAUAAAAGGAAAGGUCAGCCGAACUAAGAUGAGCUCGCGUUCUAUCAGCUAGUUGGUGAGGUAAAAGCUUACCAAGGCUACGACGGAUAGCUGGUCUGAGAGGACGAUCAGCCACACUGGGACUGAGACACGGCCCAGACUCCUACGGGAGGCUGCAGCAGGGAAUAUUGUGCAAUGAACGAAAGUUUGACACAGCGACACCGCGUGUGGGAUGACGGAUCUAGGUUUGUAAACCACUUUCAGGAGGGAAGAAAAUGACGGUACCUCCACAAGAAGCCCCGGCCAACUACGUG